rnacentral:rRNA from 1 species
UAGCUAAUCCUGGUCGGACAUCAGGAGGUUAGUGCAAUGGCAUAAGCUAGCUUGACUGCGAGCGUGACGGCGCGAGCAGGUGCGAAAGCAGGUCAUAGUGAUCCGGUGGUUCUGAAUGGAAGGGCCAUCGCUCAACGGAUAAAAGGUACUCCGGGGAUAACAGGCUGAUACCGCCCAAGAGUUCAUAUCGACGGCGGUGUUUGGCACCUCGAUGUCGGCUCAUCACAUCCUGGGGCUGAAGUAGGUCCCAAGGGUAUGGCUGUUCGCCAUUUAAAGUGGUACGCGAGCUGGGUUUAGAACGUCGUGAGACAGUUCGGUCCCUAUCUGCCGUGGGCGCUGGAGAAUUGAGGGGGGCUGCUCCUAGUACGAGAGGACCGGAGUGGACGCAUCACUGGUGUUCGGGUUGUCAUGCCAAUGGCACUGCCCGGUAGCUAAAUGCGGAAGAGAUAAGUGCUGAAAG